rnacentral:rRNA from 1 species
ACUCCUACGGGAGGCAGCAGUGGGGAAUAUUGCACAAUGGGCGCAAGCCUGAUGCAGCCAUGCCGCGUGUGUGAAGAAGGCCUUCGGGUUGUAAAGCACUUUCAGUCGUGAGGAAGGUAGUGUAGUUAAUAGCUGCAUUAUUUGACGUUAGCGACAGAAGAAGCACCGGCUAACUCCGUGCCAGCAGCCGCGGUAAUACGGAGGGUGCGAGCGUUAAUCGGAAUUACUGGGCGUAAAGCGCAUGCAGGUGGUUUGUUAAGUCAGAUGUGAAAGCCCGGGGCUCAACCUCGGAAUAGCAUUUGAAACUGGCAGACUAGAGUACUGUAGAGGGGGGUAGAAUUUCAGGUGUAGCGGUGAAAUGCGUAGAGAUCUGAAGGAAUACCGGUGGCGAAGGCGGCCCCCUGGACAGAUACUGACACUCAGAUGCGAAAGCGUGGGGAGCAAACAGGAUUAGAUACCCUGGUAGGAUAGAG